UCUAACUAUAACUGUCAGUGUAAUCCGUGUAGUCAGAUAGUCCUGAGGUAGCCACAGGCUACCCGAGCCAUCAGUGAGAUACCACUCUGGAAGAACUAGAAUUCUAACCUUGUGUCAAGACCUAUGGGCCAAACGAUAGUCUCAGGUAAACAGUUUCUAUGGGGCGUAGGCCUCCCAAAAUCUAACAGAGGCGUGCAAAGGUUUCCUCUGGUCGGACGGAGAUUGGCCUCUCUUUAAGGGAUGAUAUUGAGAAUGCUCAUUGAAUGAGCAAUUCAAUAAGAGAGCUCGGAUCGAAUCGGUACAUUGCCACAUUAUUGCAGGAGCCUAGUUGAACAUAAAGA
rnacentral:rRNA from 1 species